UUUCCGUAGGUGAACCUGCGGAAGGAUCAUUACUGUAUAACCGAGGUGCCAGGGCCGUCGCUGACCCGCCCGGAAGCACACGCCCCGGCGCCCCCCCACAGACCCCUCCCACCCCUAUGUGCACCCCGGCGCCGCCCCCCCUCUUGCUUUUUCGGAGGUGGCCUUACGUUUUCACAUACAUUUUGUAGGCAGUGUAUUAUGUAUUUUUUGUCUUUGUGAUCACGCAAUCAAUACAACUUUCAACAACGGAUCUCUUGGCUCUCGCAUCCAUGCAGAACG
rnacentral:misc_RNA from 1 species